rnacentral:rRNA from 1 species
GCUAAUACCGCAUAUUCUGUGAGCAGGAAAGCAGGGGAUCGCAAGACCUUGCGCUGAUUGAGCGGCCGAUAUCAGAUUAGCUUGUUGGUGAGGUAAAAGCUCACCAAGGCGACGAUCUGUAGCGGGUCUGAGAGGAUGAUCCGCACACUGGAACUGAGACACGGUCCAGACUCCUACGGGAGGCAGCAGUGGGGAAUUUUGGACAAUGGGGGCAACCCUGAUCCAGCCAUGCCGCGUGAGUGAAGAAGGCCUUCGGGUUGUAAAGCUCUUUCAGCCGGGAAGAAAACGCAUGGGUAAUACCCUGUGUGGAUGACGGUACCGGAAUAAGAAGCACCGGCUAACUACGUGCCAGCAGCCGCGGUAAUACGUAGGGUGCGAGCGUUAAUCGGAAUUACUGGGCGUAAAGCGUGCGCAGGCGGUUUUGUAAGACAGGCGUGAAAUCCCCGGGCUUAACCUGGGAACUGCGUUUGUGACUGCAAGGCUAGAGUACGGCAGAGGGGGGUGGAAUUCCACGUGUAGCAGUGAAAUGCGUAGAGAUGUGGAGGAACACCAAUGGCGAAGGCAGCCCCCUGGGUCGAUACUGACGCUCAUGCACGAAAGCGUGGGUAGCAAACAGGAUUAGAUACCCUGGUAGUCCACGCCCUAAACGAUGUCAACUAGGUGUUGGGAGGGUAAAACCUUUUAGUACCGGAGCUAACGCGUGAAGUUGACCGCCUGGGGAGUACGGCCGCAAGGUUAAAACUCAAAGGAAUUGACGGGGACCCGCACAAGCAGUGGAUGAUGUGGAUUAAUUCGGUGCAACGCGAAAAACCUUACCUACCCUUGACAUGCCAAGAACUUUCCAGAGAUGGAUUGGUGCCCGAAAGGGAACUUGGACACAGGUGCUGCAUGGCUGUCGUCAGCUCGUGUCGUGAGAUGUUGGGUUAAGUCCCGCAACGAGCGCAACCCUUGUCGUUAAUUGCCAUCAUUUAGUUGGGCACUUUAACGAGACUGCCGGUGACAAACCGGAGGAAGGUGGGGAUGACGUCGAGUCCUCAUGGCCCUUAUGGGUAGGGCUUCACACGCCAUACAAUGGUCGGUACAAAGGGUCGCCAAGCCGCGAGGUGGAGCCAAUCCCAGAAAGCCGAUCGUAGUCCGGAUCGCAGUCUGCAACUCGACUGCGUGAAGUCGGAAUCGCUAGUAAUCGUGGAUCAGAAUGUCACGGUGAAUACGUUCCCGGGUCUUGUACACACCGCCCGUCACACCAUGGGAGCGGGUUCCGCCAGAAGUAGGUAGCAUAACCGCAAGGAGGGCGCUUACCACGGCGGGGUUCGUGACUGGGGUGAAGUCGUAACAAGGUA